rnacentral:misc_RNA from 1 species
CCAAUAGCGUAUAUUAAAGUUGUUGCAGUUAAAAAGCUCGUAGUUGAAUUUCGGAAUCAAUAUAUCGGUCGUGCCUCUGGUACGCACUUAUUUAUUGAUUUCUCACUUCUGACGAAUCAUAAUGUCAUUAGUUUGGUGUUAUGAGGAAUCAGGACUGUUACUUUGAAAAAAUUAGAGUGUUUAAAGCAGGCUCGCGCUUGAAUACAUUAGCAUGGAAUAGUGAAAUAGGAUGUUUGAUCUUAUUUUGUUGGUUUCUAGGAUCGACAUAAUGAUUAAUAGGGAUAGUUGGGGGCAUUAGUAUUCAAUUGUCAGAGGUGAAAUUCUUGGAUUUAUUGAAGACUAACUACUGCGAAAGCAUUUGCCAAGGAUGUUUUCAUUAAUCAAGAACGAAAGUUAGGGGAUCGAAGACGAUCAGAUACCGUCGUAGUCUUAACCAUAAACUAUGCCGACUAGGGAUCGGAUGAUGUUAUUUUUUAAUGACUCAUUCGGCACCUUACG